AGCUCCAAUAGCGUAAAUUAAAGUUGCUGCAGUUAAAAGUUCGUUGUGGGAUCUCCGGGUACCUGGUCUAGCCGGUAUAGCUCACGCUAAAACUGGUCUGACCCCCUAACGUGAGGUAUUCGUCUCCGGGUGCACUUGAUUGGGUGCUCGUGAGGGGCCUCGUAGUCACUGUGAAAAAAAUUAGAGUGUUCAAAGCAGGCUCAUAUGUUCGGAUAGUCGUGCAUGGAAUAACUGAAUACGUGACGGGCGCUUUUCAGUUGGUCUCGGCGACUGGUCAAAUGAUUAAGAGGGACGGCCGGGGGCAUUGGUAUGGCGGGGUUAGAGGUGAAAUUCUUGGAUCCUCGCCAGACCAACAAAAGCGAAAGCAUUUGCCAAGAAUGUCUUCA
rnacentral:rRNA from 1 species